CUCAGUGAUCUUUUCCAGCCACAGCCAGGAACCUGGUCCUCCCUCCAGCUCCCAGAAGCCAACAGUGCAAGCUCAAGAGAAAGGCUGAGCCUGUAGGGAAACCCAAGCAGCUGGCCACCGGCGACACACACAGCAGCUCUGCCUGGGAAGUAUGAGGUUACUUACCUCCAUGUACGCAUCGAGCUCCCAGACUCAGAGGUAGACAGUGUGUUCCUUAGGUCACAUGGAAGAGUGAAGCACAUGGUGCUAGGUGCCAUGCAUCCAUUUCCAACAGAAAGGCCAGCCACAGGCAAGAUGACCAACAAGACACACCACCAGCAGCACUACACUCUGACAACUGUGCUUCCAAACUCCUUUCCCAAUGACAGCCUGAGGUCUUGCCCAAAGGCAAGGUCACUGGGUAGGAAGUUACCUACUGAAGGG